rnacentral:rRNA from 1 species
UACGUAGGUGGCGAGCGUUGUCCGGAUUUACUGGGCGUAAAGCGCGCGCAGGCGGCAGUCUAAGUCCUCUGUGAAAUCACCCGGCUCAACUGGGUGGCUGCGGAGGAGACUGGGCAGCUUGAGGGGCCUAGAGGCCGGUGGAACUCCCGGUGUAGUGGUGAAAUGCGUAGAGAUCGGGAAGAACACCAGUGGCGAAGGCGGCCGGCUGGGGGCGCCCUGACAUUGAGGCACGAAAGCGUGGGGAGCAAAACGG